rnacentral:rRNA from 1 species
UACGGAGGGUGCAAGCGUUAUCCGGAUUCACUGGGUUUAAAGGGUGCGUAGGUGGGCAGGUAAGUCAGUGGUGAAAUCUCCGGGCUUAACCCGGAAACUGCCAUUGAUACUAUCUGUCUUGAAUACCGUGGAGGUUAGCGGAAUAUGUCAUGUAGCGGUGAAAUGCUUAGAUAUGACAUAGAACACCAAUUGCGAAGGCAGCUGGCUACACGAAUAUUGACACUGAUGCACGAAAGCGUGGGGAUCAAACAGG